UGCCGAAACCCGGGAUCGAACCAGAGACCUUUAGAUAUUCAGUCUAACGCUCUCCUAACUGAGCUAUUUCGGC
rnacentral:tRNA from 1 species